UAUAAUGGGUUGUAAUGAGGUAUAAUGGGAUUAUAAAGGGUUAUAAUGGGGUAUAAUGAUUUAUAAUGGGGUUAUAAUGGGUUAUAAUGGGGUAUAAUGGGGUAUAAUGGGGUAUAAUGGGUUAUAAUGAGGUAUAAUGGGAUUAUAAUGGGGUAUAAUGAUUUAUAAUGGCGUUAUAAUGGGUUAUAAUGGGGUAUAAUGGGUUAUAAUGGGUUAUAAUGUGGUUAUAAUGAUGUAUAAUGGGUUAUAAUGGGACAUAAUGGGGUUAUAAUGGGUUAUAAUGAGGUAUAAUGGGAUUACAAUGGGUUAUAAUGGGGUGUAAUGAUUUAUAAUGGGGUUAUAAUGGGUUAUAAUGUGGUUAUAAUCAUGUAUAAUGGGUUAUAAUGGGACAUAAUGGGGUUAUAAUGGGUUAUAAUGAGGUAUAAUGGGACUAUAAUGGGUUAUAAUGGGACAUAAUGGGGUUAUAAUGGGUUAUAAUGGGACAUAAUGGGGUUAUAAUGGGUUAUAUUGAGGUAUAAUGGGAUUAUAAUGGGUUAUAAUGGUGUAUAAUGAUUUAUAAUGGGGUAUAAUGGGGUUAUAAUGGGGUAUAAUGUGUUAUAAUGGGGUUAUAAUGGGUUAUAAUGGGGUUAUAGUGGGUUAUAAUGGUUUACUAUAGGAUAUAAUGAGUUAUAAUGGGGUAUAUUAUGGCUGCGUCCUGCUUGAUGUCAUGCUAUAACCUGGCUCAGAGUGCUUUGUAUUGCCUUGUGCCCAUUUAUACUGGUCCAUAUUGGUCUAUAAUGGUUCAUAAUGGUCCAUACCGGUCCAUACUGGUCCAUACUGGUCCAUACCGGUCUAUACUGGUCCAUACUGGUCCAUACUGGUCCAUACUGGUGCAGGACCCUGGCCCCCUCCAUGAACGCCUCAGUGACCCACGUGGUGACAGCCCAAGGCUGGGACGAGACCUUCGACCAGGCGCUGGAGCUCCGCCCCUCGCUGACCAUCGUGCGUCCCCAUUGGCUGCUGCGCUGUGGGGAGCAGCUCCGCCCCCUGCCGGCCCAGCCCUACGCCGUGGUGCCGACCG
rnacentral:lncRNA from 14 species